rnacentral:tRNA from 1 species
GUUAGCUCAGUUGGUUAGAGCAUGGUGCUGUUAAUGACAAGUUGCAGGUUCGAUCCCCAUAGUGGCCA